rnacentral:rRNA from 1 species
AUUGAACGCUGGCGGCAUGCCUUACACAUGCAAGUCGAACGGCAGCACGGGUGCUUGCACCUGGUGGCGAGUGGCGAACGGGUGAGUAAUACAUCGGAACAUGUCCUGUAGUGGGGGAUAGCCCGGCGAAAGCCGGAUUAAUACCGCAUACGAUCUACGGAUGAAAGUGGGGGACCUUCGGGCCUCGCGCUAUAGGGUUGGCCGAUGGCUGAUUAGCUAGUUGGCGGGGUAAAGGCCUACCAAGGCGACGAUCAGUAGCUGGUCUGAGAGGACGACCAGCCACACUGGGACUGAGACACGGCCCAGACUCCUACGGGAGGCAGCAGUGGGGAAUUUUGGACAAUGGGCGAAAGCCUGAUCCAGCAAUGCCGCGUGUGUGAAGAAGGCCUUCGGGUUGUAAAGCACUUUUGUCCGGAAAGAAAUCCUUGGCUCUAAUACAGUCGGGGGAUGACGGUACCGGAAGAAUAAGCACCGGCUAACUACGUG